rnacentral:rRNA from 1 species
AGUGAACGCUGGCGGUAGGCCUAACACAUGCAAGUCGAACGGCAGCACAGUAAGAGCUUGCUCUUACGGGUGGCGAGUGGCGGACGGGUGAGGAAUACAUCGGAAUCUACUUUUUCGUGGGGGAUAACGUAGGGAAACUUACGCUAAUACCGCAUACGACCUACGGGUGAAAGCAGGGGAUCUUCGGACCUUGCGCGAUUGAAUGAGCCGAUGUCGGAUUAGCUAGUUGGCGGGGUAAAGGCCCACCAAGGCGACGAUCCGUAGCUGGUCUGAGAGGGUGAUCAGCCACACUGGAACUGAGACACGGUCCAGACUCCUACGGGAGGCAGCAGUGGGGAAUAUUGGACAAUGGGCGCAAGCCUGAUCCAGCCAUACCGCGUGGGUGAAGAAGGCCUUCGGGUUGUAAAGCCCUUUUGUUGGGAAAGAAAAGCAGCAGGUUAAUACCCCGCUGUUCUGACGGUACCCAAAGAAUAAGCACCGGCGAACUUCGU